UGCUUGCUUGCCUGUCUGCCUGCCAUUUGUACAUCCAGGCACUUCCAGCAUCAGAGGGGGAAGGUGGCAGCGGGGAUGCGCUCCCUGCCGAGUGGAUAAAGACUUGGGAGAAAUCCAGCAAGGGCAAGUUGAGUGUGUGGGGCUGGGCCUCCUGCGGAGCCAGGGAGGGAGGGAGGGAGGGAAGGGGCCAUAUGGUUGGGUCUUUCUCCUCCUUUGAGCCCCAUGUUGGCCCAGGCCAGAGGGUGCGAGCAAGAGGAAAGGGAAGGGGGGAGGGCUCCUUCCGUGGCGGCGGCUCCCUCCUACUAGGUCUUACUUUUGGGGAAGGUCUUAUAUUUGACCAGUCACCAAAAUCUCUACUAGGUCUUAUUUUAUGGGGAUGUCCUAUUUUCGGGGAAACACAGUAAUUACAUUUGUGAAUAAUUCAAUCACCAUAAUGAACAAUAUUGGCGAUAAAGGGCACCCUUGUCUUGUUCCCCUUGUCACUUCAAUUUCUUUAGUCAAAGAUCUUCCAAUUCUAUGAUUUUAUGAUCACGUCAGGGGGUAUUAUGUGUUGUUUUCUGUUUUUAAACAGGUUUUUAAUAGGGUUUCUGUGAAUUUUCCAGGCUGUAUGGCCAUGUUCCAGAAGCACUGUCUCCUGACGUUUCACCCAUAUCUAUGGUAAUUAUAGUCACCAGCAUUCACUCUUUAUUGGAUGUACAACAAUAAGAUAACCUAUGCAUAUGAAUGCAGAAAGCCGAAAUUUCUCCUACGUUACAAAAGUCCUCCUGACCAUUGGAUUGGUCUGCGAAGAGAUAACCCAGAGCAGCUUUGGAGAUGGAUCAAUGGUACCAUUUUCCAUGUAUGGACUACAGUUCAGGGCAGAGGAAGAUGUGCAUAUAUGAACCACAAAGCUAUUGCCAGCUCCAGCUGCUCAAGAGAAGAACACUGGAUCUGCAGCAAACCAGCUGAGAGCUAUCAGUUUGUCACCGCCUGAGUCCAGCCUUUGAAUGACUUUGGGACCAGCAAGAAAGAUCGGAGGUCAGAAACCAGACAUGUAGUGACAUGGCAUGGGAGUAUCAGGGUUUUUGUUUUGUUUUUUGAAAAUGGAAAUCUCCAUAACUUUUUGGAGAUGUUACGAUCUUUGGAAAGGCAUGAUCUUGACAGAAGUCACAACCUUUUGAAAAAUGAUGCCAUACCCUCUUGGGCGCUCCUGAAGGCACAGUGGGUUAAACCACUGAACUUGCUAACCAAAAGGCUGGUGAUUCAAAUCCGGGGAGAGAAGUGAGCUCCUGCUGUUAGCCCCAGCUUCUGCCAAUGUAACAGUUUGAAAACAUGCAAAAGUGAGUAGAUCAAUAAGUACCACUCUGGCAGGAAGGUUAUGGCGCUCCAUGCAGUCAUGCUGGCCACAUGACCUUGGAGGUGUCUACACACAACUCCAGCUCUUCGGCGUAGAAAUAGAGAUGAGCACCAUCCCUCAGAGUCAGACAUGACUAGACUUAAAUGUCAUGGGAAAACCUUUACCUUUACCUAACUCUUGGUAAAAAGCAUGCUCUAUUAGAGUCAUAAUGUGAUGUCUCAGUCACCUUUGGCACCUGACCCCGCGGCCAUUGCUGACCAAACUGAAGAAGACUUGGUUUUUUCCCAAGUCAGCAAGAUACAAUUCCUUUCCAGAUGCCUACUGUUGACAUUUCCGUGCCAGAGCCAAUUAAGGACACCCUUGAGACAGUGCAGCCUCUCCCGGGUUCUCCGGAUGGUUUACUGUUUGAUCGAAGGGCUUUUCUGAAAACAGACUGUUCUCAGAAUCAAAGCUUACGAUGAAGCGCCAGAUUAGCGGAGUGAGGCGAUUAUGGCUAGUCCAGUUCUCUUGGGAAGAAUUAGGGAAGCAGGCACCUGGUGAGAUGUCUUUGGAAGACCAGUUCUCUUGGGAAGAAUUGGGGAGUCCAGCACCUGCUCUGGGGGAGCUUAUGAACUUCUAUAAAAGUUUUGCGCUGAAAACCUUCGGCGCGGUGUCAACUUAACUUCUGACUGGGAAGCAUCGUCGUCUCUUUUUCCUGAUUUCCAAGUGGCCUGAUGGUGCGCUUACUCUGGAGUAGACCGGGUGUUGGUUUACCUUCUGGCCAAGUUGGGACUGCGUUUCAGCUCCUGAACAUCUAGUUUUGCCUAGCCCUGAAUCCUGAUUUGGACAUUUAUUCUAAAGGACUCUUCUUGCUCCCUGCUCUUUUUCCCACUCAAAACUCAGACGGAGUUUGAGUGUGUUUCGGUUUCUGGAUUUUGAACUCUAAUACUGGACAUAAGACUUUAUCUUAUUGGACAAAAAUUGAUCUUUUUCUGGAAAGUCAAUUGCUACUUUUUACUUUGCUGCUUAUUUCCAUUUGGAACUUUAUUUGCUUUAAUAAAGAUAUUAUAUUGUUA